rnacentral:rRNA from 1 species
CUCAGAGUGAACGCCGGCGGCAUGCUUAACACAUGCAAGUCGCACGGUCGGAGCAAUCCGGCAGUGGCGGACGGGUGAGUAACGCGUAGGAAUCUAUCUCUGGGUGGGGGACAACCGUGGGAAACUACGGCUAAUACCGCAUGAUACCUGAGGGUCAAAGGCGCAAGUCGCCUGGAGAGGAGCCUGCGUACGAUUAGCUUGUUGGUGGGGUAAAGGCCUACCAAGGCGACGAUCGUUAGCUGGUCUGAGAGGAUGAUCAGCCACAUUGGGACUGAGACACGGCCCAAACUCCUACGGGAGGCAGCAGUGGGGAAUAUUGGACAAUGGGCGAAAGCCUGAUCCAGCAAUGCCGCGUGGGUGAAGAAGGUCUUCGGAUUGUAAAGCCCUUUCGACGGGGACGAUGAUGACGGUACCCGUAGAAGAAGCCCCGGCUAACUUCGUGCCAGCAGCCGCGGUAAUACGAAGGGGGCUAGCGUUACUCGGAAUGACUGGGCGUAAAGGGCGCGUAGGCGGUUCGUACAGUUGGAUGUGAAAUUCCUGGGCUCAACCCGGGGGCUGCAUUCAAUACGUGCGGGCUUGAGUUCGGAAGAGGGUCGUGGAAUUCCCAGUGUAGAGGUAAAAUUCGUAGAUAUUGGGAAGAACACCGGUGGCGAAGGCGGCGACCUGGUCCGAUACUGACGCUGAGGCGCGAAAGCGUGGGGAGCAAACAGGAUUAGAUACCCUGGUAGUCCACGCCGUAAACGAUGGAUGCUAGCCGUUAGGCAGCUUGCUGCUUAGUGGCGCAGCUAACGCUUUAAGCAUCCCGCCUGGGGAGUACGGUCGCAAGAUUAAA